CCUCCUUUCUAAGGAUGAAUGAAAGUAAAAUUUCAUUCUAAAUAAUAUACAUCGGUAAUGUUGACCGUCCUCAUUUCUCUUCUUAAAGUAAUGUUUCCUUCUUGUAGGGCCGGUAGCUCAGUUGGUUAGAGCACACCCUUGAUAAGGGUGGGGUCGAAAGUUCGAGUCUUUCUCGGCCCACCAUACUUAACUGGGGGAUUAGCUCAGCUGGGAGAGCGCCUGAUUUGCAUUCAGGAGGUCAGCGGUUCGAUCCCGCUAUCCUCCACCAGGGAACAUUUAGUUAUAAAAAUUGUAAAUAAAAAUAAUAAUUAAUAUCAAUAUCUAUAUCCGAACAUUAGUAAUGUUAUUAGCUAAUGUUCAAAAUAAAAAUUUGAUUCAACACAGAAAGAAUUUUUUCUGUGCAUAAAUCAA
rnacentral:tRNA from 1 species